AACGAACGCUGGCGGCAUGCCUAACACAUGCAAGUCGAACGAGACCUUCGGGUCUAGUGGCGCACGGGUGCGUAACGCGUGGGAAUCUGCCCUUAGGUUCGGAAUAACAGUUAGAAAUGACUGCUAAUACCGGAUGAUGACUUCGGUCCAAAGAUUUAUCGCCUAGGGAUGAGCCCGCGUAGGAUUAGCUAGUUGGUGAGGUAAAGGCUCACCAAGGCUACGAUCCUGGCUGGUCUGAGAGGAUGAUCAGCCACACUGGGACUGAGACACGGCCCAGACUCCUACGGGAGGCAGCAGUGGGGAAUAUUGGACAAUGGCGCAAGCCUGAUCCAGCCAUGCCGCGUGAGUGAUGAAGGCCUUAGGGUUGUAAAG
rnacentral:rRNA from 1 species